UAAGCGGAGGAAAAGAAACUAACAAGGAUUCCCUUAGUAACGGCGAGUGAACCGGGAAAAGCUCAAAUUUGUAAUCUGGCUGUCUUCGAUAGUCCGAGUUGUAAUCUAUAGACGUGUUUUCCGUGCUGGACCGUAUCUAAGUCCCUUGGAACAGGGUAUCAAAGAGGGUGACAAUCCCGUGCUUGAUACGACCACCAGUGCUCUGUGAUACACGCUCUACGAGUCGAGUUGUUUGGGAAUGCAGCUCAAAAUGGGUGGUAAAUUCCAUCUAAAGCUAAAUAUUGGCGAGAGACCGAUAGCGAACAAGUACCGUGAGGGAAAGAUGAAAAGCACUUUGGAAAGAGAGUUAAACAGUACGUGAAAUUGUUGAAAGGGAAACGAUUGAAGUCAGUCGUGUUCUUUGGAUUCAGCUAGUUCUUCUAGUCUACUUCCAUUGAACGGGUCAACAUCAGUUUUGUCCGGUGGAUAAAGGUAGUAGGAAUGUGACUCCUCUCGGGGAGUGUUAUAGCCUAUUAUUGCAUACACUGGGUGAGACUGAGGACUGCAGCUCGCCUUUUGGCCGGUCUUCGGACACGUUCGAGCUUAGGAUGUUGACAUAAUGGCUUUAAACGACCCGUCUUGAAACAC
rnacentral:rRNA from 1 species